rfam:Leptolyngbya sp. NIES-2104 DNA, contig: contig1.
GGAGAGAUGGCCGAGCGGUUUAAGGCGCAGCACUGGAAAUGCUGUGAUGGGGUGACUUAUCCGAGGGUUCGAAUCCCUCUCUCUCCG